rnacentral:rRNA from 1 species
CAGCCGUAAACUAUGCUCGCUAGGUGUCAGGCAUGGCGCGACCGUGUCUGGUGCCGCAGGGAAGCCGUGAAGCGAGCCACCUGGGAAGUACGGCCGCAAGGCUGAAACUUAAAGGAAUUGGCGGGGGAGCACAACAACGGGUGGAGCCUGCGGUUUAAUUGGACUCAACGCCGGACAACUCACCGGGAACGACAGCAAUAUGUAGGCCAGGCUGAAGACCUUGCCUGAAUACGCUGAGAGGUGGUGGCAUGGCGGUAGACGUCU